GUUAACCAUUCCUCCUUUGUCCUCAGAUUAUUGGAUACUGAUUUGAGACAUCCUUGGUUGGAGAAAUAUUUGGAAGAACAGUCAAAGAGGCUUGAGCACCAUCAUUGAAUCCAUGAACUUCAUCCUCAUGUUGGGAACCCAAGAUGCUGACCACAGCAAGGCACUGUGUAAAGAGGUGUCAUUUCCCUGUGGUGUUAUGACAGGAAAGCCCAGAGAAUCUCUGCUUCCAGAGAUGAAGAAACUGAGGCACAGAGACUAUUUACCAGGUCACAGGGCCUGAUUGGUGCUGGGUGCUGACUUGGAGGUUCGUGCUAUUUCUCCCAGGAUCAGAGAAAUGGCAAGAGCUUGGGAACUGAAGGUGGAAGGAGGUAAAUACAGAAUACAGGCAGCAGUUAACAGAAGAAAUAGAAGGAAAGAGGGUGAAGAAGAAGUAAGUGAAAGAAACACUGAAUCUGGUUAAGUGAGUGAGAGCUUAAGCGGAAAGGGUAGAAGGAAAGAAUCCCAAGAUGACUCUAAACUGAGCAUGGAGCCCAAUGCGGGGCUCGAUUCCAGGACCAUGAGAUCAUGACCUGAGCCGAAACCAAGAGUUGGACACUUAACUGGUGAGCCCCCCAUGUGCCCCAGUGCUCAUCCCCUUUUUGAUGUCAGAAAUGGUGUCUUAAUCUCUUACUUUCCCAUCAAUUAGGAAGGAAGUUAAGAGAAAAUAGUCAAGACAUCACGGAUGAUUUAACAGAGCAAACGCUAUACCCUUGACCGGAGAGAAAAUAAGUAAGAGUGAACUUCUGCAGUUAGAUCAGUCAUGAGUAUCUAGUCUAGUCUCCAAGCUCUGAAGAACCAAUGAGAUGAAGCACGAUCAGAAAGGUCAGAAAUCCAGUCUUCAGAUUUCCAGGGGGUACUACUUCUUUAAGAUUGUUAUGCACCCUUAUUAUCAGUGAACUAUAUCUUUCAACUUUCAACUGGGUUCUACUAUAUUAGAAUUAAGUCAGUAAAUUCAUCCUCACAGUUACUUAAAAACUGGGUUAUAUCUUCUUCUCUUAGCCUUACAUUUUUUUUUAAAGUUGGCAAUACUCGUUGUUUUAGUCUAUCUAAAGUUUCCCCUGUAAUUUAUAGAAUACAGGCUUCCUGAAAAGGUAUAAGAGGAAGUAGUUUCUAAAUUCUUCUAUCUAAACUCACCUCUUUUAGUAAAUGAUGGGUUUAACUGGAGAAAAUCCCCGAACAUCUCUGUGGUCUUUGAUUUUCUCCAUGGCCAUUAACAUCAAUUUUAUAAUGAGACUCCCUUUAUGUGGUCACCCGACUACCAGCUAAAUGAGAUGAAAACUUAAAUGCAUGCUUGAAGGUUGGGACUUAGUGGAAAGUGGCUAAGCUAGACCUAAUUGGUCACCAUUAUUCUUAGCUUCAUUAAAAUUCUCUUUUUUUGGCUUAACAGACACUCCCACACUUGUUGAAGCCAACUGAAGCAAUUUCAGUCUCAUGGCCAUAGAGAACAUACCAGCUUCCCAGAGGAACCAAUGUACUGGGAGGAAUACUUAUUCACUUCUGUUAGUGUGCACCAACCAGACUAGCAAGACUGUGCGGCAAAAUUAGAGCCAGGAUCUUCCUUUCUCUUGCUUUGUCAGCCAAUUAGUGGGAGGAACAGCUAUAAAGCUAGUGUGUGCGUUCACGCAUGUCCACAGAUGUGAAUUCUUCUGUUUUACAAAAGCACGACCUGACAUAAAAGAGUAUGAAAGAGAUCUAUAACCAGCAACAUAACCCAAAUAAUAGUUUUUAGUUCUAUAAGACAUAGAAAAUAAAAUAAUAAACAUUGGUUUAUGAAAACUGAUUUAUGUUAGGGGUGAUAUACAGAAAAAUGCUUUGUGUUGAAAGAAACAAGUAAAAAGUGUGUGAAGUUGAAAUUACUUUUAUGAAAUGGAGUUUUGUACAACUUUUCAUCAAGCUUAGAUGUGUGUGGGGAUGAAGGUUGUAAGAAAUCUCUUCCAUUAUUAAAAAGUAUAAUUCAUGUAUUUUUCUCAUUCAAACAUACCUUGUCUUUGCUGCAACUGUAUGAGGCAUUUUACAGUCUUUCAGCAUACUCAUGAGUGAUGGGAACAUUUCGCCUAAAUCCAAAAUAAAAGAUUUUAUUUAGUGGAAGCAUUAAACCCUGCAGGACAGCUGAAUGUUACAAAGCUCUUUUUUAGCCCCUGGCAGUGAAAUAGAAGAUCUUUAGAAGGAUUGAGAUUGUCACUGUGGACCUAAGAGAUGUCUCUUUUAUUCAAGCCUGCAGGUCAACUUCAGUCAUCUUGGGAGAGCUUGAAAACUUUUUUUCCUCUUCACAGAAUGGACUAUGGGGAGCAGGAUGAAGCAAGGACUUUUGAACACCAAGAACUAACUUUAUGUAAUAAGAUUAGAGACUUUUAAGUAUAAAGGUCAACAGGCCACAUUCCAGUUACUUCAAUGAGAACCAACCAUAAUAAAAUAAAGUCUACUUUUUUUGAUAUUUUAUCAACUAGAAAUUCCUAUUAAUGCUUUCUCUCACACGGAUAAUUGAAAACUGAUAUUCUCACUAGUGGCCCUGAGGCCCUGAAACAUCUUGAAAGCUUUCUCAAAUUAUCGAAGAAAGAUGGAAUGACUUCAAUAUCAUUUCAAUAUUAGGCAUAUUUCAUACAGUGUAAGGAUUCAAUAUUUGUAUAUACUGCAGAAUGAUCACGACAAUAAUUCCAGUUAACAUCUUUAAAUGUUUUUAAGAUUGAGGAUUCAAAAAAAAAAAAAAAAAAGAUUGAGGAUCCAAGUGUGGCACAGAAGUAUAGUACUUUCAA